GAGAAUCUCGACUUCGGUUGAGAUGGACAGUGGCGAACGGGUGAGUAACACGUAGGUAAUCUGCCCUCGAGCAGGGAAUAAUUCCGGGAAACCGGUUGUAAUACCGUAUAAUAUCCCGGCGGGUCAUCCCGCUGGGAUCAAAGGCUUCGGCCACUUGAGGAUGAGCCUGCGCCCCAUUAGCUAGUUGGUGAGGUAAUGGCCCACCAAGGCUACGAUGGGUAGCUGGUCUGAGAGGACGAUCAGCCACACUGGGACUGAGAUACGGCCCAGACUCCUACGGGAGGCAGCAGUGAGGAAUAUUGCGCAAUGGACGAAAGUCUGACGCAGCAACGCCGCGUGGGUGAUGAAGCUAUUUUUAGUGUAAAGCCCUGUUAGGAGGGACGAAUGAUCCCGGCUUGCCGGGAAGUGACGGUACCUCCAAAGAAAGCUCCGGCUAACUCCGUGCCAGCAGCCGCGGUAAUACGGGGGGAGCAAGCGUUGUCCGGAUUUAUUGGGCGUAAAGGGCGCGUAGGUGGACCAGUAAGUGAGUGGUGAAAUCUCGGGGCUUAACUCCGAAACUGCCUUUCAUACUGCUGGUCUCGAGUUCGGGAGAGGGAGAUGGAAUUCCUGGUGUAGCGGUGGAAUGCGUAAAUAU
rnacentral:rRNA from 1 species